rnacentral:rRNA from 1 species
CCUACGGGCGGCAGCAGUAGGGAAUAUUGCUCAAUGGGGGAAACCCUGAAGCAGCAACGCCGCGUGGAGGAUGAAGGUUUUCGGAUUGUAAACUCCUUUUGUUAGAGAAGAUAAUGACGGUAUCUAACGAAUAAGCACCGGCUAACUCCGUGCCAGCAGCCGCGGUAAUACGGAGGGUGGAAGCGUUACUCGGAAUCACUGGGCGUAAAGAGCGCGUAGGCGGGAUAGCAAGUCAGAUGUGAAAUCCUAGGGCUUAACCAUAGAACUGCAUUUGAAACUGUUAUUCUAGAGUAUGGGAGAGGUAGGUGGAAUUCUUGGUGUAGGGGUAAAAUCCGUAGAGAUCAAGAGGAAUACUCAUUGCGAAGGCGACCUGCUAGAACAUAACUGACGCUGAUGCGCGAAAGCGUGGGGAGCAAACAGGAUUAGAUACCCUUGUAGUC